UACGUAGGUGGCAAGCGUUGUCCGGAAUUAUUGGGCGUAGAGCGCGCGCAGGCGGUCCUUUAAGUCUGAUGUGAAAGCCCACGGCUCAACCGUGGAGGGUCAUUGGAAACUGGGGGACUUGAGUGCAGAAGAGGAAAGCGGAAUUCCACGUGUAGCGGUGAAAUGCGUAGAGAUGUGGAGGAACACCAGUGGCGAAGGCGGCUUUCUGGUCUGUAACUGACGCUGAGGCGCGAAAGCGUGGGGAGCAAACAGG
rnacentral:rRNA from 1 species